UUGCUGUAUAAAAGGAAAAAAUCAGCACUCCCCUUGACAGGAAUGGAAGAGGCACUCAGGCCUAACAACAUGCACAUGAUUAAGGCACUGCUACCUACUUCAUGGUAUGUUACCAAUAUUUUUU
rnacentral:ncRNA from 1 species